rnacentral:rRNA from 1 species
AUACAGAGGGUGCGAGCGUUAAUCGGAAUUACUGGGCGUAAAGCGCGCGUAGGCGGUCUAUUAAGUCAGAUGUGAAAACUAUGGGCUCAACCCAUAGCCUGCAUCCGAUACUGGCAGACUAGAGUGCGAGAGGGGAAAGCGGAAUUCCUGGUGUAGCGGUGAAAUGCGUAGAUAUCAGGAGGAACACCGGCGGCGAAGGCGGCUUCCUGGGCCAAUACUGACGCUGAGGUGCGAAAGCGUGGGGAGCAAACAGGAUUAGAAACCCCAGUAGUCC